GUGCUCACUUCGGCAGCACAUAUACUAAAAUUGGAACAAUACAGAGAAAAUUAGCAUGGCCCCUGCGCAAGGAUGAUGUGCAAAUUCGUGAAGCAUUCCGUAUUUUU
rnacentral:snRNA from 1 species